rnacentral:lncRNA from 1 species
GAUGCUGAACUCCUGCAAAGUACUACUAGGCCUUUGGUGCUCAACCUUAUCCUGCUGACAAUUAGAGCACUUGGCUAUGAACUUUAUAAUAUCCUUAUUCAUACCACUCUACCAAUAGAUCUCGCUCAAAUAACGGUACAUCUUAGUGGCCCCUCGGUGAAUAGAGUAACGUGCACCAUGCACUUGGUCUAAGAUCCGCUACCUCAACCUAUCAACACAUGACACACAAAUCCUACCCUUACAUAGCAAUAUACCA